GAUGAACGCUGGCGGCGUGCCUAAUGCAUGCAAGUCGAGCGAACAGACGAGGAGCUUGCUCCUCUGACGUUAGCGGCGGACGGGUGAGUAACACGUGGAUAACCUACCUAUAAGACUGGGAUAACUUCGGGAAACCGGAGCUAAUACCGGAUAACAUGUUGAACCGCAUGGUUCAACAGUGAAAGACGGUCUUGCUGUCACUUAUAGAUGGAUCCGCGCCGCAUUAGCUAGUUGGUAAGGUAACGGCUUACCAAGGCAACGAUGCGUAGCCGACCUGAGAGGGUGAUCGGCCACACUGGAACUGAGACACGGUCCAGACUCCUACGGGAGGCAGCAGUAGGGAAUCUUCCGCAAAGGGCGAAAGCCUGACGGAGCAACGCCGCGUGAGUGAAGAAGGUCUUCGGAUCGUAAAACUCUGUUAUUAGGGAAGAACAAAUGUGUAAGUAACUAUGCACGUCUUGACGGUACCUAAUCAGAAAGCCACGGCUAACUACGUG
rnacentral:rRNA from 1 species